rnacentral:rRNA from 1 species
UACAGAGGUCUCAACCGUUGUUCGGAUUCAUUGGGCGUAAAGGGUGCGUAGGCGGUCGCGCAAGUCGGAUGUGAAAUCUCAGGGCUCAACCCUGAAACUGCAUUCGAUACUGCGUGGCUAGAGUGCUGGAGAGGAGACUGGAAUUUACGGUGUAACAGUGAAAUGCGUAGAUAUCGUAAGGAAGACCAGUGGCGAAGGCGAGUCUCUGGACAGCAACUGACGCUGAGGCACGAAGGCCAGGGGAGCAAACGGG